UUGGAGGGCAAGUCUGGUGCCAGCAGCCGCGGUAAUUCCAGCUCCAAUAGCGUAUAUUAAAGUUGUUGCAGUUAAAAAGCUCGUAGUUGAAUUUCGAGAUCAAAUUGUUGGUCGUGCCUCGGUACGUACUGGCAUUAUUGAUUUCUCCCUUCUGAAGAACCACGAUGUCAUUAAUUUGGUGUCGUGGGGAAUCAGGACUGUUACUUUGAAAAAAUUAGAGUGUUUAAAGCAGGC
rnacentral:rRNA from 1 species